AGCCGGAGCUUCUUCUGCGGGUACUGUCAUUAUCAUCCCCGCUGAAAGAGUUUUACAACCCUAAGGCCUUCAUCACUCGCGCGGCAUCGCUGGAUCAGGGUUGCCCCCCAUUGUCCAAUAUUCCCCC
rnacentral:rRNA from 1 species